ACCCCGAAACAGAAGGUGGCGAUAGUGCACCAAUAAGCUGGAUGCCAACCGCUUCUGUUAAAAAUAACAAGAAGAAGACGAUCAGACGCUGUUUUUCAGCGGAGCUGCAAGUAGUCUAAAGAAACUGUAAUAAGAGUAUAUUAAGAACAUUAAUGAUAAAACACGGAUAUUUUACACAUCAGCAGAAGAAUAACAAUAGUUCAAGAUGAGUAAUCGGGAGGCUCACGGUCCGGAGCAUCAACACCAUCCUCGUCAGCCGGACAAUCGAGGCAACCUGAGGACCAAAGAAUGUCAUUUCUCCAGGUAGGCACUGAACCAGUUCAUGUUGUUCUCUGUAUAUAAAAUACAACUUUAAAGGGGCUUUGGUAUAUUUUUUUAGGUGUUUUUAGUUGAUGUUUUUAUAAUAUUUGAAAUGUAACAAGUUCAGCAUAGAAUUCAUGUCAGCUGUUCCUACAAGAACAAGUGUGAGAACAUAUUUUGCAGCGUAUGUUAAAUUUAAAUCAAUUUUAAUUCAAAUCAGUUAAUCUUUAAUGCACGUUUACAAGAGCACCGUGCUACAUAAGGUUAAAAUGAAGCCUUGAAAGUGGUAGUCAUGUUUGCUGUUACUGGUGAGACAGAAAGCUCUCUUUGAAAAGAUAACAUUUUAAAGAUCUUUACUUGUGUUCAGAAGAUGAACAAAAGUCUUAAGGGUUUGGAACGACUUGAUGGUGAGUAAAUGACGACAGAAUUGUCUUAUUUAGUUGCAUAUCUGCACCACAUCUGGUGGUAUUCAGCAUACCUGCCCCUAAUGUUGAAAUGCCACUAAUUUGGUUUCCAUAAUAGUUCACAUGAUGAUUUACUAUGGAAAAACAUUUUUAUAAUAAGCUACGAUUUGACCAUACUUCUCUCUCUUGUUUUUUUUUUUUUUAGAAUUUAGCCUCUAUGGUGUGAUGUUUGGUCAACCGUCUCUUGUACUAUGAAGAACUGCAAUGGAAGAAGAGACAGUGCUUGAUUCGGCAGAUGGUGGAGCAACUUUUUCAAGAGGAAAUUGUUGACAUUGUCACAGAGGAUGAUGGUGUGGUCGUGGUGCCAGAGAUCUAUUGUCCUUUGUCAGACCAAAAGCCUUUGAUAUCACCAUUGAAUGUCUAGGAGUUAUACCAACAGACACUCGAUGUCAUCCAAAGACUGUGCUCCAUUUAAAUUGUUAAAGUCAUUUUCAGGUUUGAAAGAUGCAGAAGUUGGUUCACAGAUGUACUUCUCCUUUAAAACUACUUCCCACCUGUAAUCACAAUGGAGACACAUAUCUGACUGCUGGGCUUCCCCUCUUAUUGUGUUCAGAUUCAUAUGCAUCUGCAGGGUUAUUCAUGCCAACACUUUAUAGCGUUGUGCUGGUAAUUUAUCUUUAUAUAUCAUGCCUUCUCACUGCGUCUGUCAGCCUGUGCUUUACAUAUCUGAGAGUCAACGCAGCUAAACAUGAAGGACAAAUGCAAGACAUUAUGCAUGUUAUAUAUCGGCAUAUGGAUGGUUAGAUUAGAAACUGCUUUCUGUUUGUGUGUUUAAACAUCACAACAUAGAAAAUUAACUGUCUUCCAUUUUCUGUUGUGUAAUAAAUCAUAGGAAAAUCACUUUAAACCAUUUAAUUUGAGAAAUAACUUUUUGUAACAAAAAUAUUUAAGACUUUUUAAACCAUGUAGUAGCAUGUACAAUCACAAGUGUUUUUUGUCAUCCUCAUCCCAUCUCCAUAUUGUUUCUUUAUUCUGCUGAACACAAGACAUUUUAGAAAAAGAAGACAUUUUAAUAAAUGAUGGUUAGCACACAUGAGACUGUACCCAUUGACUUACUUAGAUUUUAUUUGUACUUUAGACGUCAAUGGGUACACUCUCCUGUGUGCUUACCAUCAUUUAUCAAAAUAUCUUCUCAGCAGAAUAAAGAAACUUAAACAGGUUUACAACAACAUGAGGCUGAGUAAAUGAUAACAGAAUUUUCAUUUUUGUGUGAACUAUCCCUUUAAGACUCUGUAAACCAUUCAGAUGCAUGUAAAAUCAUUGACAACUGUUAAACAUCAUCUAUAAAUGAUAAAAAGACAUUACUAUUGGGAGAAACAUUUUGUCUAGAC